rnacentral:rRNA from 1 species
ACUAAGCGUACACGGUGGAUGCCCUGGCAGUCAGAGGCGAUGAAGGACGUGCUAAUCUGCGAUAAGCGUCGGUGAGGUGAUAUGAACCGUUAUAACCGGCGAUUUCCGAAUGGGGAAACCCAGUGUGUUUCGACACACUAUCAUUAACUGAAUCCAUAGGUUAAUGAGGCGAACCGGGGGAACUGAAACAUCUAAGUACCCCGAGGAAAAGAAAUCAACCGAGAUUCCCCCAGUAGCGGCGAGCGAACGGGGAGGAGCCCAGAGCCUGAAUCAGUGUGUGUGUUAGUGGAAGCGUCUGGAAAGGCGUGCGAUACAGGGUGACAGCCCCGUACACAAAAAUGCACAUAUUGUGAGCUCGAUGAGUAGGGCGGGACACGUGGUAUCCUGUCUGAAUAUGGGGGGACCAUCCUCCAAGGCUAAAUACUCCUGACUGACCGAUAGUGAACCAGUACCGUGAGGGAAAGGCGAAAAGAACCCCGGCGAGGGGAGUGAAAAAGAACCUGAAACCGUGUACGUACAAGCAGUGGGAGCCUCUUAAUGGGGUGACUGCGUACCUUUUGUAUAAUGGGUCAGCGACUUAUAUUCUGUAGCAAGGUUAACCGAAUAGGGGAGCCGAAGGGAAACCGAGUCUUAACUGGGCGUUAAGUUGCAGGGUAUAGACCCGAAACCCGGUGAUCUAGCCAUGGGCAGGUUGAAGGUUGGGUAACACUAACUGGAGGACCGAACCGACUAAUGUUGAAAAAUUAGCGGAUGACUUGUGGCUGGGGGUGAAAGGCCAAUCAAACCGGGAGAUAGCUGGUUCUCCCCGAAAGCUAUUUAGGUAGCGCCUCGUGAAUUCAUCUCCGGGGGUAGAGCACUGUUUCGGCAAGGGGGUCAUCCCGACUUACCAACCCGAUGCAAACUGCGAAUACCGGAGAAUGUUAUCACGGGAGACACACGGCGGGUGCUAACGUCCGUCGUGAAGAGGGAAACAACCCAGACCGCCAGCUAAGGUCCCAAAGUCAUGGUUAAGUGGGAAACGAUGUGGGAAGGCCCAGACAGCCAGGAUGUUGGCUUAGAAGCAGCCAUCAUUUAAAGAAAGCGUAAUAGCUCACUGGUCGAGUCGGCCUGCGCGGAAGAUGUAACGGGGCUAAACCAUGCACCGAAGCUGCGGCAGCGACGCUUAUGCGUUGUUGGGUAGGGGAGCGUUCUGUAAGCCUGUGAAGGUGUGCUGUGAGGCAUGCUGGAGGUAUCAGAAGUGCGAAUGCUGACAUAAGUAACGAUAAAGCGGGUGAAAAGCCCGCUCGCCGGAAGACCAAGGGUUCCUGUCCAACGUUAAUCGGGGCAGGGUGAGUCGACCCCUAAGGCGAGGCCGAAAGGCGUAGUCGAUGGGAAACAGGUUAAUAUUCCUGUACUUGGUGUUACUGCGAAGGGGGGACGGAGAAGGCUAUGUUGGCCGGGCGACGGUUGUCCCGGUUUAAGCGUGUAGGCUGAUUUUCCAGGCAAAUCCGGAAAAUCAAGGCUGAGGCGUGAUGACGAGGCACUACGGUGCUGAAGCGACAAAUGCCCUGCUUCCAGGAAAAGCCUCUAAGCAUCAGGUAACAUCAAAUCGUACCCCAAACCGACACAGGUGGUCAGGUAGAGAAUACCAAGGCGCUUGAGAGAACUCGGGUGAAGGAACUAGGCAAAAUGGUGCCGUAACUUCGGGAGAAGGCACGCUGAUAUGUAGGUGAAGCGACUUGCUCGUGGAGCUGAAAUCAGUCGAAGAUACCAGCUGGCUGCAACUGUUUAUUAAAAACACAGCACUGUGCAAACACGAAAGUGGACGUAUACGGUGUGACGCCUGCCCGGUGCCGGAAGGUUAAUUGAUGGGGUUAGCGGCAACGCGAAGCUCUUGAUCGAAGCCCCGGUAAACGGCGGCCGUAACUAUAACGGUCCUAAGGUAGCGAAAUUCCUUGUCGGGUAAGUUCCGACCUGCACGAAUGGCGUAAUGAUGGCCAGGCUGUCUCCACCCGAGACUCAGUGAAAUUGAACUCGCUGUGAAGAUGCAGUGUACCCGCGGCAAGACGGAAAGACCCCGUGAACCUUUACUAUAGCUUGACACUGAACAUUGAGCCUUGAUGUGUAGGAUAGGUGGGAGGCUUUGAAGUGUGGACGCCAGUCUGCAUGGAGCCGACCUUGAAAUACCACCCUUUAAUGUUUGAUGUUCUAACGUGGGCCCCUAAUCGGGGUUGCGGACAGUGUCUGGUGGGUAGUUUGACUGGGGCGGUCUCCUCCUAAAGAGUAACGGAGGAGCACGAAGGUUGGCUAAUCCUGGUCGGACAUCAGGAGGUUAGUGCAAUGGCAUAAGCCAGCUUGACUGCGAGCGUGACGGCGCGAGCAGGUGCGAAAGCAGGUCAUAGUGAUCCGGUGGUUCUGAAUGGAAGGGCCAUCGCUCAACGGAUAAAAGGUACUCCGGGGAUAACAGGCUGAUACCGCCCAAGAGUUCAUAUCGACGGCGGUGUUUGGCACCUCGAUGUCGGCUCAUCACAUCCUGGGGCUGAAGUAGGUCCCAAGGGUAUGGCUGUUCGCCAUUUAAAGUGGUACGCGAGCUGGGUUUAGAACGUCGUGAGACAGUUCGGUCCCUAUCUGCCGUGGGCGCUGGAGAACUGAGGGGGGCUGCUCCUAGUACGAGAGGACCGGAGUGGACGCAUCACUGGUGUUCGGGUUGUCAUGCCAAUGGCACUGCCCGGUAGCUAAAUGCGGAAGAGAUAAGUGCUGAAAGCAUCUAAGCACGAAACUUGCCCCGAGAUGAGUUCUCCCUGACUCCUUGAGAGUCCUGAAGGAACGUUGAAGACGACGACGUUGAUAGGCCGGGUGUGUAAGCGCAGCGAUGCGUUGAGCUAACCGGUACUAAUGAACCGUGAGGCUUAACC